rnacentral:rRNA from 1 species
UACAGAGGGUGCAAGCGUUAAUCGGAUUUACUGGGCGUAAAGGGCGCGUAGGCGGUUAGUUAAGUGAGAUGUGAAAGCCCUGGGCUUAGCCUAGGAACUGCAUCUUAAACUGACUAGCUAGAGUACUGUAGAGGGUAGUGGAAUUUCCGGUGUAGCGGUGAAAUGCGUAGAGAUCGGAAGGAACACCAGUGGCGAAGGCGGCUACCUGGACAGAUACUGACGCUGAGGCGCGAAAGCGUGGGGAGCAAACAGG